UUUUUUUUUUGGUAAUUAGAAGCAUCUCACUAAUUGGGACAAAAAAACACAUUGUUGAUGCAAAUAAAUGAAGUUUCUACUUGGGACCAAAUAUUAUAAUUUAAAUGCCCAACUUUGAAUCUCAAGAAUUUACAAACAGCUGCCACUUUUGUGCUCUCAUGUACUUGUGGAUGAUUCCCUGAGUUUUGCUUGCAAGAUCAUUCCUGCUUCAUCUGCUAUGUUUUUCUUCUUGGAAGCCAUCUGCAUUAUUAGAUAGUCAAAGUUUGUGAUCCAACGAAGAAAGUUCAUAUAGUAAGGAGGGGCUUGCCAGUUCUAGAAAGGCCAUUUAAAGUUCAUGAUCAAAAUUUUGAUGAUAGCACUAAAUUUGUAAGACAUAUAAUUAUUUAUUUUUUAAGCAGGUAAGAACUGUUUUGUGUUCAAC
rnacentral:lncRNA from 1 species